AUACCGUCUGAAUCGAGGGAAAAUUUGUUUGUUGCUAUAGUUGGUUAUCGCUGCAUACGCAUUAGUAUAAGAGAAGAGUAUCAUUCUGGACCUGUUGCAUAUAGUGUGCUGUUAUUUAGUUUUAGAUUCUAAUUGCAAGCGGAAAAACUGAUAGUAGUAACGAUCUAGCAUUCAUAGAUUUCGCUCAGUAAUAAUUUUAGUUCUAGUAAAUUAGAUUAUUCAAAAUUAUGAAGCUUCUUGGAAAAGUUCUUGUAACUUUAUUGAUAGGUUGCGCGUACACCCUGAACCUUAAUAAACGCGAAGACUUUGGAAAUCUAAAUCAACCAGGAGUACAUUUUGGUAACAGCGGAACUAGUUCAUUUGGUGGCAGAGGAAAUAAUCCAUUUGGUAGCGUUGGUAAUUCACAGGCAAACGCAAAUUUUAUGCAGGCCCAAAGUAUGCUAGCGCAGCUCUCAGCAAUGAUAAAACAGAAAUGUGAACAAACUGGACAUUCUGACGUAUUUCAGACUUUUCAGGCACAGUUUGAACAAACUACAAAAUGCCUGGAAGGCAAAAUAAAUUUAAACGGAAAUGUUGUUGGUGAAGACUUUAGUAAUGCUGCACGAACUAACCAGCUACCUAACUUUUUUAAGAAAUACUGUAAGAUUUGGCCUGACGUUCAUGGGUGUACUCAGCCUAUUGUGACUUCUAUUGAAAAAUGUUUGAAUAGCGAUGAAAAGCGCGCCGUUGAAGAAUCAGUUUCGCUCCUCGAUGACACGAAUAAUUUCUUCUGCGAAAACAAUGCUGAUCGCAGUAUAAGACUACUUAAUGGUAAUAUUGUGCAAUGUUUGCAGACUGUAGGUAGAGAGAUCCAAGAAUGUGCAACAAAUCUGGCCCAGAAGAGGCAAACUCACCAAAGUGGCCGAAAGAGCUUAUUCCCUUAUGAUGAAGAGGACUGCAGCGACUUCAAGACUGGCCGUCAAUGCAUCAACUCAAAGCUAACUAAAUGCGAAUCAAAAGAUCCUUCCAAAAUCUUUGAUGACUAUUUUGCAAUGGUUCAAGGCAAGGUUUGCAGAUCAGCGUCAAGCUUGUCUUAAUUUUAUUUGCUAAUAUUUUGUUAUCGGUAGGAACCUACUUGUAUUCUAGGAUGUUCUAAGCCAUUGAAUAUAAAAGCUUCUGACCAAAUACUCUGCCUGUAUAAGUCUGCAUAAUGUUGUUUAUAUAUGAGACUAUCAGAGCAACAAUAGCCUAAGCUCAAAAUAGUAUAUUGUGCAACAAGUGCAGAAAGGUACUAAUUUCUCACGAGUUUGAAAAGUUGCGGUACGAGCGCAAGCGAGUGACGCGAUUCAAACAAGUGACAAAUUACCUUUCUGUACAUGUUACACACUAUACUUUUUCUACAAUCACAGGUUUUGCUAAAAAUAAAAAUCACAAUUUCCAAACGAAGAUUUAUUAUAAAAAUAAAUUAUAAAUUUUAAA
rnacentral:misc_RNA from 1 species